AUUGAUGGUGUGUGGAAAUGGUUAGAAUAUGCCCAAUCAGAUGUGCAAAAUGAAGAGGCUGAUGAAGAAAGGGAAGCUGAAAAUCCCGAACCUUCACAAGCCAAUAAGCCUUCAAUGGAGGAUUUCAUGGUUCAAAUUCAAGGGUUCAUGUUGGAUCAAAUCUCUCAACUCAGAACAGAAAUGAAUGAUCAAAAUCAAAGGAUUGGGAGGUUAGAAGAACGUGUUGAACAUGAAAUCACAAUGAUGGGAUCUCUCAUGGCAAGCAAGGGAAAGGACUCUUCAAGUCAACCACCCCCACCUGAGUCGUAGAGCCAAGUUUAAGAGUCUUUGUGUCUAGCC
rnacentral:lncRNA from 1 species